rnacentral:lncRNA from 1 species
AACAAGAUAAACAGUACUGAAAUAGGUAAUAAGAUAAACAGUAAUGAAAUAGGUAAUACGAUAAAAAAGUUAUGCAAUACGUAAUAAGAUAAACGGUAAUGAUAUGGGUAAUAACAUAGACAGUAAUGAAAUAGGUAAUACGAUAAAUAGUAAUGAAAUAGGUAAUAAGAUAAACAGUAAUGAAAUAGGUAAUAAGAUAAACAGUAAUAAAAUAAACGGUAAUGAAAUAGGUAAGAAGAAAAACAGUAUAAAUAUGUGUAAAAAGAUAAACAGUAAUGAAAUAGGUAAUGGGAUAAACAGUAAUGAUAUGGGUAAUAAGAUAAACAGUAAUGAAAUAGGUAAUAAAAUAAACA